rnacentral:pre_miRNA from 1 species
UGUUUAUAACUUUACAAAAUGUUCAGCUUUGUGCUGACAUUUUCCCUGUUUGAUUUCUGCCUGAAGGUAAAUUGUUUUGAAAAGUUCGAAU